rnacentral:rRNA from 1 species
AUGAACGCUAGCGACAGGCCUAACACAUGCAAGUCAGGGGCAGCACAACGGAGCAAUCUGAGGUGGCGACCGGCGCACGGGUGAGUAACACGUAUGCAACCUGCCUGUAAGCGGGGAAUAACCCGUUGAAAGACGGACUAAUACCGCAUAAUACUAAAUUACUGCAUGGUAAUUUAUUUAAACAUUUAUGGCUUACAGAUGGGCAUGCGCAUGAUUAGCUAGUUGGAGAGGUAACGGCUCCCCAAGGCAACGAUCAUUAGGGGUUCUGAGAGGAAGGUCCCCCACACUGGUACUGAGACACGGACCAGACUCCUACGGGAGGCAGCAGUGAGGAAUAUUGGUCAAUGGACGAGAGUCUGAACCAGCCAAGUCGCGUGCAGGAAGAAUGUCCCUAUGGAUUGUAAACUGCUUUUGCAGGGGAAUAAAGUGCAUCACGUGUGAUGUUUUGUAUGUACUCUGCGAAUAAGGAUCGGCUAACUCCGUGCCAGCAGCCGC